UACGAAGGGUGGGAGCGUUAUUCGGAUUUAUUGGGCGUAAAGGGUUCGUAGGCGGGAAGAUAAGUUAAGUGUGAAAAAUCUAGGCUUAACCUAGACAGUGCAUUUAAAACUGUUUUUCUUGAGUGCUAAAGAGGGUGGUGGAAUUGCUGGUGUAGGAGUGACAUCCGUAGAGAUCAGCAGGAACAUCGGAGGCGAAGGCGGCCACCUGGUUAGAUACUGACGCUGAGGAACGAAAGCAUGGGGAGCAAACAGG
rnacentral:rRNA from 1 species